rnacentral:misc_RNA from 1 species
GUGAUUAAAUCGAGCGUGUCUUCAUUGACCGCUCACCCUUCUCACCAUCCACAUACACCUGUGCACUGCUUAGCCUGAGCCGGUUUUCCGGUCCAGGUUAUCAUUUCAUACAAACCCUAGUCUUAUGAAUGUAAACGUUUUAAUAACAUAAUA